ACGGGCAAGAGGGGAAGAGGGAGAGAGUAAAGGCGGCCCUGCACAUGAGGGAACUUGGAAAAGCCAGGCUGACUUUCAUUUCAUAUAUGGUUUGCUGGUCGACACUUCCUUUUGAUGGUCUGCCUCAUCCAUCACCUUUCUCCUGGUAUUGGGCCUGCCUCGUGGUUUCAAAUAUGGCCGCCAUGCUGUAAGAACAGGAAAGAAAGCCCUGUUUCUAAAGAGAAACAGAAUUCAGUACAAGCAAUUUUGUCCCAAAAGGGUUUGGGGAGCUGAUUCAGUGGAUAACGGGCUUGCUGUGCAAACAUGAAGAUCUGAACUUGGAUCCUGAGCAUCUGCAUAGAAACUGGUUGUGGUGACUGAUGCCUGUGACCCCAGCACUAGGAAGCAGGGGCAGGAAGAUUCCUGGGGAUUGCCUGACCAAGCCAGUCUCACCAACUUUGCAAGGCCUGGUUCAGUGAGAAUCUCUGUCUCAUAAUAUAAUAAACAUGCUAGUCAUGGUA